GCGGCCGUAGAUUUGAUCCGCCUACUGAUUGACCAGGAAUGCAGUUUCAUGGUGUCCAUCAACCCUUUGUCUGAAAUACCAUCGACUGUUGAAUGGUUUUCUUUGUCUGACCGUCGCCGUGAGCUGUUUAAUUUCGAAGUGGAAAAUAUGUCCAGUUCUAAAAUAUCGGAUAAUGUCAGAAAGUCGAGCGUUAGAAUGAAGACUGCAUCGUCUGAUGAUUGGCAGGAGGUAACUAUCUAUGAAAUCACAUCGUGGCAUUUCAAAGAAGACCUUCCGGCUGAAACCAACGGCAUUUUAGAACUUGUAAAGUUUAUAAUGCAGGGGCCGAAAAUCGAUCCCGAAAACAAAAUGGUUGUUCUUUCCAGAGAUGGCGCUACUGGAUGUGGAGUGUUGUUUGCUGUGUAUAACGCCAUACAACAGCUACAACAGGAUCAGGAAGUGGACAUGUUCACCAUUGUCAGACAGCUACAGAGUCGUCGUCCGGAAAUGAUCACCAGCAUGAAUGAAUACACUUUUUGUUGCCAAGCAGUGGCUCAGUUUAUCAAAAGUGACACUGGGAUGGAAGAUGUCUACAUGAAUUCUCAGCCUGAAAAUGACGAAAGCAUUUACGCAAAUGUUUAGACUUGUGUAUAUAUAACUCUGGAUCUGAGAGUUUUACAGUUUUGUUUUACAAGUUUUGUUUUAACUUUUUCAUCUAGUACCAAAUAUCCUUUUCCAGAUUGCUUCGUUUUGUAAUGACAUGUCUAUUGUGCUUUCUACACGUUUAUGUCAUGUCGACUUUUUUUUGUCAAAAAGAAAAAAAAAUAGGAAUAAAGAGACUUUUGAUUUUUAAAAAAACUAAUGAAUUUUAUCUUGAUAUGUAAAAUAUAUAUCGUAUAUCAUAAAGCGUUUAAAACAUUGUUUAAAAAGAGGGUUUUUUUUUUUUAGAAUUUUUUAUCAUAGAAGAAAAUUAAGUAUGACAUGUUUAAAAUAUCUGUCCUCCAUAGAAGAAAACAAUCCGUGUUUAAAAGUCCCUAUUGAGAAUGAUUAUUUUUUCAAGCGUAUGCUUUGCAUAUAUUUUGUAUUGAGUACCUAAUGGUGGUUAUGCAGGCCUACUACUUUUAAUAAUUUUCAAAUUCUUAUUUUACUUGUCAGGCAAUAUCGAUUUUCUUUAUUGAUCCUAAAAUCAUAUGUUAUUUAACGUUUGUAUUUUUUCCGCAAUAUUAGAAUGGCCUUCAUUGCAUAUGUAUUUAUCGUGUAAAAAGUGAUUGGCCUGUUUCUUACUUAUAUGUUUCUAAAUUAUAUUGAAAUCUAUAAAAAUAAGACCCUUGUUUAAUUUCCUUUUAGAAUAUAUACUAUUUUUUUUUUAAGUAAUUACAUGUAUAUGUAUGACAGGUUGGCCUGUAUUACUAAAACACUAACAGCUAUUUCGUAGGCUAACAUUAUUAUAUCUGUUAUUAUUUCGACGGAUGCAUACAUCCUCGAUAUAAGUUGCAAAUUCAUUUGAUACGGUGUCUGGAGUAUGGCUAGCUAGCGCAGUGUUAUUUCUUCUGGUUGCACAUCAUGUUUUACAAGGAGCAUUGCUAAAACGUAGAACGAAAAACGAGACGGAAAAAGAAAAGAAACGAAAAAACGGAAAAUAUAAUAUUCCAGUUUUUUUUUUCAUUAAAAGAGUAAAGACUGGAC
rnacentral:misc_RNA from 1 species